CGGCGAGUGACCAGGCCUCGUCCUGGGGUCCACAGGGCUGCUGGACAGCUGAGGGCCCGUGGUGUUGGCCUUGGCGGAACUGGCUUCGAGAGUCUCCACGCGUCUCCCUCCCGGAGGUGAAGUGCUCUCCAGCUGCUAUUUAUGGACCGCGCAGGAUGAAGGUGGAGCUGGACGGACACUGCAGAGACGAGAGAGCUGGUGACCAGUCACAGUGCCGCAGGCUCCGUCUGCAGACACACAGACACGUCCCAUACAGACACACAGACACACACGCAAACACACACUGAGGUGCACAGACACACGCAAACAUGCCCACACGCGACAUAUAGAGCCCACACGUAUCACACACUCUACAUGCACCCCACACCCGCAACAUCUCAUUUCCCCCAACACAGCCCCAGACAUACACCCUCCCUCUCACAGACAUACACACCCCACACACUGAUACACACACGUCACACAUCACACACAGACACAGACACCUCGUUCCCCUCCCCACGGCUGCCCCAGGGAACACCACUGGGUUGCCCUGAGGACCCCGCGAGCCGCAGGCUAGGCCCCUCCGGGCGCCCAGGUCCCACAGCAGGCAGGCUGACUCGCGCCCUUGCUCUCGCCCGAGUCCUGCCCGUCUGGAAAUCCCUCUGGCCGGGCUGUUUCAAAAGAGCAUUAGCCAAGGAUAACCGGCUGAGUGGGGUGAGGCGGUUCC